CUUUCCCUUCACUUCUUUGGCUGAAGACAGAGAUAUGGAGAACAAGAUGUCACAACACGAGAGUCCAAAGCACAGGCUUUGUCAGGAUGACCCAACGUGAAUAAGCCUGUCCAGACUUUUCCCAGGAAUGGAUCACAUAAUGUGUUUCACAUAUUGCUGUGAAAAAAACUUCUGACAGUGUUCAGAUCCCUCCAGCUACCUAAAGCCCAUCAUGGCCUGUGCAUUGCUCCAUCCCAGCCUGCCUUUGCCACGUUGGUUUAGGAUCUCCUCUUCCGGGGUCUUUCCUCACCAUUAGCCCAUCGCUCCUGUAGAGGGCGCCCUGCUCCUCUCUAUCCUGGCGUCUCGCAGGGCUCAGCCAUCUGAGAAGUUCUGCGCAUUUGUGCCUGGACCAGGGCUGCUCAGAUCCUCGCAUAUCUCAAUCCCCAGGAUCACCCCACCACCCUUUCUGUGUGGCCUUCUCUCAACGCUGCAGGCUUUUCCAGAGCCCUGCUUUGCUAAAAGCACUGGCACUGUUCUUCCAACCAGCAGCGUUCAUUUCCAAUAUGUACAGCCUGUGUGUGGCCGUCAAUGACACGGGCCUUGGUAGAUAUUGAAAUAAGGGCCUAAGUCCUUUUUUCUUAUUGCUUAUUAUGUUGCUUAUUAUGAUGUCGUGCCUUGAGCAAAUCCUCCGGCUAUUGAAAAAAUGAAUGAGUUUGGGAAGAUACCUGUGCUGUGAGAUUUGUGACUAUGAGGUCAUGUUUGGUAAUUUUCAUCCCAGGACUCCUGAGGGACCCAGACUGAGGAUUUAUUCUACCACAGAGGAUGCAAGGGGAGGGCAGGUGACAUAGCUGCUAACUAACUAAUGGAUAGCUUUAAGCUGAGGACUCUUCAGCUUGGAGUUCCUGCUCCACACGCAUGGGUCCUGGAGAUAGAGGACACAGGGCAUCCUGUGUGCUAGGCAGGGUUUGCUCUGAGCUCCAUCUCCAGUCCCGCUGUCUCUCCCGAAGCACAGAAGGAGGCUGUCGAACCACCCAGGUGGCCGCCUUGAGGAAGGUGGCUCCCAUAGCAGUAUCUCAACACUGCCUUCAACUGCUCCCACUCCACUACAUAGGACGGACCCACCUUCCCAGGCUCCAAAGACGUUGCCUCAAACCACAGAGCAAAACAAUGACAGCUCAUGGGAUCUGCUCUGUUGCAUCCUGUCUCUGACAGUCUCUCCCCGAGGGCUCCACAGUCUGUGUCUUACCAGCGGGAAAGAAGGAAGACCCCAUUUGGAACAUCACUUUGUAGUCCUCGUCCUCCUCCACGCAGCACCUGAAGUGAUGGGAGUCUGUGCACAAACCACUGGCUUCC
rnacentral:lncRNA from 1 species